CCUACGGGUGGCAGCAGUGGGGAAUAUUGGACAAUGGGCGAAAGCCUGAUCCAGCCAUGCCGCGUGUGUGAAGAAGGCCUUCGGGUUGUAAAGCACUUUCAGUGGGGAAGAAAGCCUUGGGGCUAAUACCCUCGAGGAAGGACAUCACCCACAGAAGAAGCACCGGCUAACUCCGUGCCAGCAGCCGCGGUAAUACGGAGGGUGCGAGCGUUAAUCGGAAUUACUGGGCGUAAAGCGCGCGUAGGCGGUCUGAUAAGCCGGUUGUGAAAGCCCCGGGCUCAACCUGGGAACGGCAUCCGGAACUGUCAGGCUAGGGUGCAGGAGAGGAAGGUAGAAUUCCCGGUGUAGCGGUGAAAUGCGUAGAGAUCGGGAGGAAUACCAGUGGCGAAGGCGGCCUUCUGGACUGACACUGACGCUGAGGUGCGAAAGCGUGGGUAGCAAACAGGAUUAGAUACCCGGGUAUC
rnacentral:rRNA from 1 species